GCUCUUCUUGGAUGAGUUGCGAACGGGUGAGUAACGCGUAGGUAACCUGCCUUGUAGCGGGGGAUAACUAUUGGAAACGAUAGCUAAUACCGCAUAACAAUGGAUGACACAUGUCAUUUAUUUGAAAGGGGCAAUUGCUCCACUACAAGAUGGACCUGCGUUGUAUUAGCUAGUAGGUGAGGUAAUGGCUCACCUAGGCGACGAUACAUAGCCGACCUGAGAGGGUGAUCGGCCACACUGGGACUGAGACACGGCCCAGACUCCUACGGGAGGCAGCAGUAGGGAAUCUUCGGCAAUGGGGGCAACCCUGACCGAGCAACGCCGCGUGAGUGAAGAAGGUUUUCGGAUCGUAAAGCUCUGUUGUAAGUCAAGAACGGGUGUGAGAGUGGAAAGUUCACACUGUGACGGUAGCUUACCAGAAAGGGACGGCUAACUACGUGCCAGCAGCCGCGGUAAUACGUAGGUCCCGAGCGUUGUCCGGAUUUAUUGGGCGUAAAGCGAGCGCAGGCGGUUUGAUAAGUCUGAAGUUAAAGGCUGUGGCUCAACCAUAGUUCGCUUUGGAAACUGUCAAACUUGAGUGCAGAAGGGGAGAGUGGAAUUCCAUGUGUAGCGGUGAAAUGCGUAGAUAUAUGGAGGAACACCGGUGGCGAAAGCGGCUCUCUGGUCUGUAACUGACGCUGAGGCUCGAAAGCGUGGGGAGCGAACAGGAUUAGAUACCCUGGUAGUCCACGCCGUAAACGAUGAGUGCUAGGUGUUGGAUCCUUUCCGGGAUUCAGUGCCGCAGCUAACGCAUUAAGCACUCCGCCUGGGGAGUACGACCGCAAGGUUGAAACUCAAAGGAAUUGACGGGGGCCCGCACAAGCGGUGGAGCAUGUGGUUUAAUUCGAAGCAACGCGAAGAACCUUACCAGGUCUUGACAUCCCGAUGCUAUUUCUAGAGAUAGAAAGUUACUUCGGUACAUCGGUGACAGGUGGUGCAUGGUUGUCGUCAGCUCGUGUCGUGAGAUGUUGGGUUAAGUCCCGCAACGAGCGCAACCCCUAUUGUUAGUUGCCAUCAUUCAGUUGGGCACUCUAGCGAGACUGCCGGUAAUAAACCGGAGGAAGGUGGGGAUGACGUCAAAUCAUCAUGCCCCUUAUGACCUGGGCUACACACGUGCUACAAUGGUUGGUACAACGAGUUGCGAGUCGGUGACGGCGAGCUAAUCUCUUAAAGCCAAUCUCAGUUCGGAUUGUAGGCUGCAACUCGCCUACAUGAAGUCGGAAUCGCUAGUAAUCGCGGAUCAGCACGCCGCGGUGAAUACGUUCCCGGGCCUUGUACACACCGCCCGUCACACCACGAGAGUUUGUAACACCCGAAGUCG
rnacentral:rRNA from 1 species